rnacentral:tRNA from 1 species
GGCGGCCUUGCGGAUCACCGAUACCGCCGCCCGGUCCAGCCGGACCCCCGUGCGACUGACACAGAAGCCAACCCGCCAUUGCUGGCGAUGGCAAAAGAGAUCGUCGCGGUACCCGUGGUGCGGACCCGCGGCUUGCCC